rnacentral:rRNA from 1 species
UACAGAGGGCUCAAGCGUUGUUCGGAUUCAUUGGGCGUAAAGGGUGCGUAGGUGGCGCCGUAAGUCAGGUGUGAAAUUUCGGAGCUUAACUCCGAAACUGCAUUUGAUACUGCGGUGCUUGAGGACUGGAGAGGAGACUGGAAUUUACGGUGUAGCAGUGAAAUGCGUAGAUAUCGUAAGGAAGACCAGUGGCGAAGGCGGGUCUCUGGACAGUUCCUGACACUGAGGCACGAAGGCCAGGGGAGCAAACAGG